rnacentral:rRNA from 1 species
AAGAAUAUUUCUUUUAGUAGCUGGGCGUUCUAUAAAAAAGAAUUUAUAUUUUAUAAAAAAAUAUAAGUAGUAUAAUGGAUACAUCAUAUAGAAUUGAGAUUGCUGACAUUAGUAACAAUAAGUUUAAUUAAACGGCCGAAAGUCUAAGGUUUUAUCAAGUGAAACGGUAUAUAUC